UGAACUCAGAACUUUAUGUGCAUGAAACGCCCUAACCACUCUGCCAUGCGCCCUCCCUAUAUAUAUAUAUAUAUAUAUAUAUAUAUAUAUAUAU